GUAGGGGGCUAGCGUUGUCCGGAUUUAUUGGGCGUAAAGAGCUCGUAGGCGGUUUGGCAAGUCGGGUGUGAAAUCUCCACGCUUAACGUGGAGCGGUCAUUCGAUACUGCCAUGACUAGAGUCCGGUAGGGGAGUGUGGAAUUCCCGGUGUAGCGGUGAAAUGCGCAGAGAUCGGGAGGAACACCCGUAGCGAAGGCGGCACUCUGGGCCGGUACUGACGCUGAGGAGCGAAAGCGUGGGGAGCAAACAGGAUUAGAUACCCUGGUAGUCCACGCCGUAAACGUUGGGCACUAGGUGUGGGACUCUAUCGACGGGUUCCGUGCCGACGCUAACGCAUUAAGUGCCCCGCCUGGGGAGUACGGCCGCAAGGCUAAA
rnacentral:rRNA from 1 species